rnacentral:rRNA from 1 species
GGGGGAAAAUUAAUAAAUAUAACUUAAUAAAAAAAUUUUUAAUAUUAAAAUAUUUAAUGGGGGUUAAAGUAUAUUUAAUAGAAAAAAUUAAAAAAUUUAUAGUAAAAUAGUAUUGUAUAAGAAAUUUGAAAUAAAUGAAAAUAAAUUUAAAUAAAAGUAAAUUUAAUUUAUUGUAUCUUGUGUAUCAGAGUUUAUUAAUAAAAGUUUUUAAGAAAAAAUUUCUCGAAUUUAAAAGAGUUAAUUAAUUAAUAAAGUUAAUGUUGAAUAAUUAUUUUAAAUAAUUAAUUAGAAAUGAAAUGUUAAUCGUUUUUAAAUAUAUCUAGUUUUUUUAGAAAAAAAUUUAAUUUUAAAUAUAAAUUUUUAAUUUUUUGUUUAUGAAAAAUUUAAAAUUUAUAUUAAAUAUUUUAAGGGAUAAGCUUUAAAAUAAAUAAUUAUAAUAUGAUAAAAUAAAUUUAAAUUAAAAUUUUUAGAAUUUAUAUUGUUAAUAAAUUAUAAUUUAUUAUAAAUAAUUUUAUUAAAUAGAAAAUUUAAUCUUUUUGAAUUUAAUUUUUUAUAAAAAAAUUUUUUUUAAUUAUAUAAAAUUAGUUAUAAUGAUAAAAUUAGUAUAUAAAUAAAAUAAAAAUAAAUAAAUAUUUUUUUUAAUUUUAAUAAAGGAAUUCGGCAAAAAUUUAUAUUCACUUGUUUAUCAAAAACAUGUCUUUUUGUUAAUAAUUUAAAGUCUAAUCUGCCCACUGAUUUUUAAAAUUAAAGGGCUGCAGUAUUUUGACUGUACAAAGGUAGCAUAAUCAAUAGUCUCUUAAUUGGUGACUUGAAUGAAAGAUUUGAUGAAAUAUAAACUGUCUCUAUUAAAUUUGUAAAAUUUAAUUUUUUAGUUAAAAAGCUAAAAUUUUUUUAAAAGACGAGAAGACCCUAUAGAGUUUUAUAAUUUAUUUAUUUAUAAUUUUGUUUAAAUAUUAAAGUUAUAAAUAAAUAAAUUAUUUUAUUGGGGUGAUAGAAAAAUUAAAUAAACUUUUUUUUAAAUUUUUACAUUGAUUUAUGAAUAUAUGAUCCGUAAUUUACGAUUAAAAGAUUAAAUUACCUUAGGGAUAACAGCGUAAUUUUUUUUUUUAGUUCAAAUAAGAAAAAGAGUUUGCGACCUCGAUGUUGGAUUAAGAUAAAAUUUAAAAUGCAAAAGUUUAAAAUUUUUGAUCUGUUCGAUCAUUAAAAUCUUACAUGAUCUGAGUUCAAACCGGUGUAAGCCAGGUUGGUUUCUAUCUUUAAAAAAAUAAAAUACUUUAGUACGAAAGGAUUAAGUAUUUAAAAUAAUUUUAAAUUAAAGAAUAUUAAUAAUAGUAAUUAUAAAUU